AAUAGAUACCCCGGUAGUCCACCCCGUAAACGUUGGGAACUAGUUGUGGGGUCCUUUCCACGGAUUCCGUGACGCAGCUAACGCAUUAAGUUCCCCGCCUGGGGAGUACGGCCGCAAGGCUAAAACUCAAAGGAAUUGACGGGGACCCGCACAAGCGGCGGAGCAUGCGAAUUAAUUCGAUGCAACGCGAAGAACCUUACCAAGGCUUGACAUACACCAGAACACCCUAGAAAUAGGGGACUCUUUGGACACUGGUGAACAGGUGGUGCAUGGUUGUCGUCAGCUCGUGUCGUGAGAUGUUGGGUUAAGUCCCGCAACGAGCGCAACCCUCGUUCUAUGUUGCCAGCACGUAAUGGUGGGAACUCAUGGGAUACUGCCGGGGUCAACUCGGAGGAAGGUGGGGAUGACGUCAAAUCAUCAUGCCCCUUAUGUCUUGGGCUUCACGCAUGCUACAAUGGCCGGUACAAAGGGCUGCAAUACCGUGAGGUGGAGCGAAUCCCAAAAAGCCGGUCCCAGUUCGGAUUGAGGUCUGCAACUCGACCUCA
rnacentral:rRNA from 1 species